rnacentral:tRNA from 1 species
GUUUAGAACGACGGAAUCAUAAUUCGUAUGUCGAAGGUUCGAAUCCUUCUUUCGC